CUCAGGACGAACGCUGGCGGCGUGCCUAAUACAUGCAAGUCGAGCGAGCGGAACUAACAGAUUUACUUCGGUAAUGACGUUAGGAAAGCGAGCGGCGGAUGGGUGAGUAACACGUGGGGAACCUGCCCCAUAGUCUGGGAUACCACUUGGAAACAGGUGCUAAUACCGGAUAAGAAAGCAGAUCGCAUGAUCAGCUUUUAAAAGGCGGCGUAAGCUGUCGCUAUGGGAUGGCCCCGCGGUGCAUUAGCUAGUUGGUAAGGUAAAGGCUUACCAAGGCGAUGAUGCAUAGCCGAGUUGAGAGACUGAUCGGCCACAUUGGGACUGAGACACGGCCCAAACUCCUACGGGAGGCAGCAGUAGGGAAUCUUCCACAAUGGACGCAAGUCUGAUGGAGCAACGCCGCGUGAGUGAAGAAGGUUUUCGGAUCGUAAAGCUCUGUUGUUGGUGAAGAAGGAUAGAGGUAGUAACUGGCCUUUAUUUGACGGUAAUCAACCAGAAAGUCACGGCUAACUACGUGCCAGCAGCCGCGGUAAUACGUAGGUGGCAAGCGUUGUCCGGAUUUAUUGGGCGUAAAGCGAGCGCAGGCGGAAGAAUAAGUCUGAUGUGAAAGCCCUCGGCUUAACCGAGGAACUGCAUCGGAAACUGUUUUUCUUGAGUGCAGAAGAGGAGAGUGGAACUCCAUGUGUAGCGGUGGAAUGCGUAGAUAUAUGGAAGAACACCAGUGGCGAAGGCGGCUCUCUGGUCUGCAACUGACGCCGAGGCUCGAAAGCAUGGGUAACGAACAGGAUUAGAUACCCUGGUAGUCC
rnacentral:rRNA from 1 species